rnacentral:rRNA from 1 species
GACGAACGCUGGCGGCGUGCUUAACACAUGCAAGUCGAACGGAAAGGCCCUGCUUUUGUGGGGUGCUCGAGUGGCGAACGGGUGAGUAACACGAGAGUAACCUGCCCUUGACUUUGGGAUAACUUCAGGAAACUGGGGCUAAUACCGGAUAGGAGCUCCUGCUGCAUGGUGGGGGUUGGAAAGUUUCGGCGGUUGGGGAUGGACUCGCGGCUUAUCAGCUUGUUGGUGGGGUAGUGGCUUACCAAGGCUUUGACGGGUAGCCGGCCUGAGAGGGUGACCGGCCACAAUGGGACUGAGAUACGGCCCAGACUCCUACGGGAGGCAGCAGUGGGGAAUAUUGCACAAUGGGCGGAAGCCUGAUGCAGCAACGCCGCGUGCGGGAUGACGGCCUUCGGGUUGUAAACCGCUUUCGCCUGUGACGAAGCGUGAGUGACGGUAAUGGGUAAAGAAGCACCGGCUAACUACGUG